rnacentral:sRNA from 1 species
AGAAGAGGAGCGGCGAGUGCGGGAGACCGUGCGCAGGGAUAAAACGCUCCUGAAGGAGAAGAGGAAGCGACGCGAGGAGCUGUUCAUCGAACAGAAGAAAAGAAAACUCCUUCCAGACACUAUUUUAGAGAAGUUAACCACAGCUUCACAGACUAACAUCAAGAAAUCGCCAGGAAAGGCGAAAGAAGUUAAUUUGCAAAAGAAAAAUGAAGACUGUGAAAAAGGAAAUGACUCCAAGAAAGUUAAAGUACAAAAAGUACAGUCUGUCAGCCAGAAUAAAAGCUAUUUGGCUGUAAGGCUAAAAGACCAAGAUCUGAGAGACUCAAGGCAACAAGCAGCACAAGCCUUCAUACAUAAUUCAUUAUAUGGGCCAGGAACCAACAGGACUACUGUAAAUAAGUUCCUGUCUCUUGCCAACAAGAGGUUACCAGUGAAAAGAGCUGCUGUCCAGUUUUUGAAUAAUGCUUGGGGAAUCCAGAAAAAACAAAAUGCCAAGAGGUUUAAAAGACGGUGGAUGGUCAGAAAGAUGAAAACUAAGAAGUAAAUCAAUGCUAAAUGAAGAAUCUGUACUUUUGUUCUUGCCACAGUCUCUCCUUAGCUGUUCACUCAUCGCUUGCAGCUCUCGUCCAAAGUGGAUCAUUCUUUCUAUGGCGGCCUGACUUCCUCCACACAACUGGCGUCUCAACUGACUUGAAUCAACUUCUGUAAGAAAAACAGACAAGUAUUUUACUACCUUAUGGAAUGGAGUAUAAUGAGGACAUGAACAUACAUUUCUUAUAACAUUUUGUACAUUUAGUAACUAUUCCCUAAUAUUUCAACUAAAUAUGCAGAUUGUUAAAAAUUCAUUUUUAAUAUGAAACUGCAGCUAAAAGAUAUACUUUAUUUAGCUCUCAAGAGUCUAGGAUCCAGUAUUCAGCAUG